AGCAUGCAAUCGUUGCAGGGCUUUGGUGAGGAAUUAGUAUUUUCUUCCCACAUUAAUACAUUCUGGAAAUAAAUAACGUGUGUUUCACCCUGUUCCUUUCAUCAUCUUAUUAUGAAGGUAACUCCUUCACCAUUUCAUCUUGACUCACACUUGAAUAACUUGCAAACAGAUGUGUGUUUACUCAGAAAUUAGUCCUGAUAUAUUCUGUGGGGCUUACCCCUUUGUGUUUUUAGGAUUGCAGCUGAAGAUAUUGGAUUGGGGAGGGCAUGCUCAUCACUUCUUGGCAUUUAUUAACCCAUCGCACUCUCGAGUGACCACCGUGAAAAAGGGCUGAGGGAAAAGCUAUCGGAAGAAGGGCUGGCUUUGGACCAUGGGCCUAGCCAAGGGGGCAGGUGCCCCCCUCAAUCAAUAAAAAUACUUAACAAACUGAGUUUCUGCCUUCCCUAACAAAAGCCUGCCCCCCCCCAUGCUUGGGACUCAGUGGGCCCCAUUGAAUUCUAUGGAACAAAAUAAACAGGCUGCAAUCUGGGGCACAG